rnacentral:rRNA from 1 species
UACGUAGGGGGCGAGCGUUGUCCGGAUUUAUUGGGCGUAAAGAGCUCGUAGGCGGCUUGGCAAGUCGGGUGUGAAACCUCCAGGCUCAACCUGGAGACGCCACUCGAUACUGCCAUGGCUAGAGUCCGGUAGGGGACCACGGAAUUCCUGGUGUAGCGGUGAAAUGCGCAGAUAUCAGGAGGAACACCGGUGGCGAAGGCGGCACCCUAGCGUUGUUCUGACGCUCAUGUGCGAAAGCGUGGGGAGCGAACGGG